rnacentral:rRNA from 1 species
GAUGAACGCUGGCGGCGUGCUUAACACAUGCAAGUCGAACGAAGCACUUAAGAUUGAUUCUUCGGAUGACGUCUUUUGUGACUUAGUGGCGGACGGGUGAGUAACGCGUGGGUAACCUGCCUCACACAGGGGGAUAACAGUUAGAAAUGACUGCUAAUACCGCAUAACCCGAUAGGAUCGCAUGAUCCAGACGGAAAAGAUUUAUCGGUGUGAGAUGGACCCGCGUCUGAUUAGCUAGUUGGUGAGGUAACGGCCCGCCAAGGCGACGAUCAGUAGCCGGCCUGAGAGGGUGAACGGCCACAUUGGGACUGAGACACGGCCCAAACUCCUACGGGAGGCAGCAGUGGGGAAUAUUGCACAAUGGGGGAAACCCUGAUGCAGCGACGCCGCGUGAGUGAAGAAGUAUUUCGGUAUGUAAAGCUCUAUCAGCAGGGAAGAAAAUGACGGUACCUGACUAAGAAGCCCCGGCUAACUACGUG